rnacentral:rRNA from 1 species
CGGUAGCAUGGUAUGUAGCAAUACAUACUGAUGACGAGCGGCGGACGGGUGAGGAAAACGUAGGAACUUGCCUUUUAGUGGGGGAUAACUAAGGGAAACUUUAGCUAAUACCGCAUAUUUUCGAGAGAAGAAAGCUGCCGUAAGGUGGCGCUAGAAGAGAGGCCUGCGUCCGAUUAGCUAGUUGGUGGGGUAAGAGCCCACCAAGGCGAUGAUCGGUAACUGGUCUGAGAGGACGACCAGUCACACUGGGACUGAGACACGGCCCAGACUCCUACGGGAGGCAGCAGUGGGGAAUAUUGGACAAUGGGGGCAACCCUGAUCCAGCGAUGCCGCGUGAGUGAAGAAGGCCCUCGGGUCGUAAAGCUCUUUAGGUUGGGAAGAAGUGUGGUGGAGGAAAUGCUGCCACAUUGACGGUACCGACAGAAUAAGCACCGGCAAACUCUGUGCCAGCAGCCGCGGUAAUACAGAGGGUGCGAGCGUUAAUCGGAUUUACUGGGCGUAAAGGGCGCGUAGGCGGUUAUAUGAGUGUGAUGUGAAAGCCCUGGGCUUAACCUGGGAAGUGCAUCGCAAACGAUAUAACUGGAGUAUAUGAGAGGGUGGCGGAAUUUCCGGUGUAGCGGUGAAAUGCGUAGAGAUCGGAAGGAACGUCAAUGGCGAAGGCAGCCACCUGGCAUAAUACUGACGCUGAGGCGCGAAAGCGUGGGGAGCGAACAGGAUUAGAUACCCUGGUAGUCCACGCUGUAAACGAUGAGGACUAAAUGUUGGUAGGGGAAUCUAUCAGUAUUGAAGCUAACGCGAUAAGUCUUCCGCCUGGGAAGUACGGCCGCAAGGUUGAAACUCAAAUGAAUUGACGGGGGCCCGCACAAGCGGUGGAGCAUGUGGUUUAAUUCGAUGCAACGCGAAGAACCUUACCUACCCUUGACAUCCUGCGAAUCUGGCUUAGUAGCUGGAGUGCCGAAAGGAACGCAGAGACAGGUGCUGCAUGGCUGUCGUCAGCUCGUGUUGUGAGAUGUUGGGUUAAGUCCCGUAACGAGCGCAACCCUUGUCCUUAGUUGCCAUCAUUUAGUUGGGGACUCUAAGGAGACUGCCGGUGAGGAACCGGAGGAAGGCGGGGACGACGUCAAGUCAUCAUGGCCUUUAUGGGUAGGGCUACACACGUGCUACAAUGGGGCGUACAGAGGGUAGCCAACCCGCGAGGGGGAGCCAAUCUCUUAAAGCGUCUCGUAGUCCGGAUUGGAGUCUGCAACUCGACUCCAUGAAGUUGGAAUCGCUAGUA